rnacentral:rRNA from 1 species
AUACGUAGGUGACAAGCGUUAUCCGGAUUUACUGGGCGUAAAGGGCGUGUAGGCGGUCUUGCAAGUCAGAAGUGAAAUUCCUGAGCUCAACUCGGGCGCUGCUUCUGAAACUGCAGGACUUGAGUGCUGGAGGGGAUAGCGGAAUUCCUAGUGGAGCGGUAAAAUGCGCAGAUAUUAGGAAGAACACCGGUGGCGAAGGCGGCUUUCUGGACAGUACCGGACGCUGCGGCGGGAAAGCGUGGGGAACAAUCAGGAUGAGUUGCCUUGGUAGUCCACGCCGUAAACGAUGAAUACUAGGUGUAGGGGGUAUCGGCUCCCUCUGUGCCGCAGUUAUCACAAUAAGUAUUCCGCCUGGGGAGUACUGCCGCAAGGUUUAAGCUCGAAUGAAUUGACGGUG